UCGUCUUCUGUCUCAACUCUUCUCUUUUCGUCUGAAACACCUCCACCAUGAAAGACAUUUCUGAAACACAUCCAGCAUGAAAGAAGAACAAAGGGUACUGAAAAUCUGAGGCUUAACAUAAGAUUUCAAUCCAGGGAUUGGAUGAAUAAGUUAGGUAAGAGUAUGAUCUGUGCAGGCAAAUGGAUAAUGGAGUUGUGAUUGUAGGUGGUGGUAGUCUGAGAUAAUGCUGUGUUGCAGGGAGGCUACAGCACGAGGUUAAUGGAGUUGACUGUGAGUGAUUGUGAUGAUUGAGAUUGAAGCUACUAUGGACCUUAAGAGGCUUUGUAAAUUUGUGAGCUUCAGUUUCUCUUUAGAUUUUUGGUUCAAGCUAUACAUCUUUGAUAUUGCGGAUUAUUAAAAACUGCAGCAUUGGUUUGUGGUUUUAUAGUGUACUGCAAACUAGGUCAACAAAUAUGGAUGUCUGUGUUCUUGGAUGAUAGGCUGAUUGGUUGUACGAGCGACUGUAAAAAUGGCAAAAAUGCAUCGUGAAACGAGAAAUAACGGUGCUUUAUAACUAAUACUAUGAGAAAGAGAACCAUUUUCAUCAGCAAAUACGAUAGUUAUAUAUGAUUAAUGGAACUUAAAGUUGUUUCAAUGAUAAUGGGAUUUUUUCGCUUUCAAAGUAAAUAACGCUUAUGCUUUGCUAGCAGUUACAGCCCAGCAGCCGCAUCUAACCUUUCAUAUAUUUUCUCUAAUAGGAAGUUCUCUAAGGAUUAGGGGUAAAUCUAAGUGUUUUUGUAGCAUUAGAGGACUGGAAGAUCAUGGUUUAGGACAUAUUCUAUUUUGUUUAGCUUUUGGAAGUGAUUAAUUUUACAUUUUACAGUGUGUUGGUUUUGUAUGAAUAAUGAAUAUGCUUGACAUUUUAUACAAAAAUGCUUGACAUUUUA